rnacentral:rRNA from 1 species
UACGAGGGGGGCAAAUGUUGUUCGGAAUCACUGGGCGUAAAGGGUGCGUAGGCGGGUUUUUAAGUCAGGUGUUUAAUCCCGGGGCCCAACCCCGGACAGGCACUUGAAACUGGGAAUCUUGAAUAGGGGAGAGGUCGGUGGAAUUGGAGGUGUAGCGGUGGAAUGCGUAGAGAUCUCCAAGAACACCCGUUGCGAAGGCGGCCGACUGGACCCAUAUUGACGCUGAGGCUCGAAAGCAUGGGGAGCAAACAGG